rnacentral:lncRNA from 1 species
GGCAGGCGCCGCGCCGUGGACUCGGCGCUGCGGGACGAGCGGCUGAGCUCGGAUGAGGAACUCGGAUCCGCCGGCAUCGCCUCCCUGCUGAGCGAGGCCAGCCUGCAGGCCAGCUCCUGCUGACUCCGGGAACGCGGGAAUGUGGGAAUGUGGGAAUGCGGGAAUGCCAGGAAUCUGGGAAUCCGGGAAUGCGGGAACGCGGGAAUGUGGGAAUGCGGGAAUGCCAGGAAUCCGGGAAUGCGGGAAUGGGGGAAUGCGGGAAUGCGGGAAUGUGGGAAUGCGGGAACGUGGGAACGCGGGGAUCCGGGAAUCCGGGAAUGCCAGGAAUCUGGGAAUCCGGGAAUCCGGGAAUGCGGGAAUGGGGGGAUCCGGGAAUGUGGGAAUGCCAGGAAUCCGGGAAUCCGGGAACAUGGGAAUCCGGGAAUCCGGGAAUGCGGGAAUGUGGGAAUGUGGGAAUGGGGGAAUCCGGGAAUGCGGGAAUGCGGGGAUCCGGGAAUGCGGGAAUGUGGGAAUCCAGGAAUGCGGGAAUGUGGGAAUCCGGGAAUGCGGGAACGCGGGAAUACCAGGAAUCCAGGAAUCCGGGAAUACGGGAAUACCAGGAAUCCGGGAAUCCGGGAACGCAGGAAUCCAGGAAUGUGGGAAUGCCAGGAAUCCGGGAAUACCAGGAAUCCGGGAAUGCGGGAAUACCGGGAAUCUGGGAAUACCAGGAAUCCAGGAAUCCAGGAAUGCCGGAAUCCGGGAAUGCGGGAAUGCGGGAAUGUGGGAAUGCGGGAAUACCAGGAAUCCAGGAAUCCGGGAAUCCGGGAAUGUGGGAAUGCCAGGAAUCCGGGAAUACCAGGAAUCCGGGAAUAUCCGGGAAUGCGGGAACGUGGGAAUGUGGGAAUGCGGGAAUCCGGGAAUGCCGGAAUCCGGGAAUACCAGGAAUCCGGGAAUACCAGGAAUCCGGGAAUGCCGGGAAUGCGGGAAUACCAGGAAUCCGGGAAUACCAGGAAUCCGGGAAUACCAGGAAUCCGGGAAUGUGGGAAUGCCGGAGUCAGCGCUGAGGCCGGGACUGGUUCCAGGAUUGCUCGUCCGGGGAUCAGCCUGGGACCGUCC